rnacentral:rRNA from 2 species
CAGCCGCCGCGGUAAAACCAGCACCUCAAGUGGUCAGGAUGAUUAUUGGGCCUAAAGCAUCCGUAGCCGGCUCUGUAAGUUUUCGGUUAAAUCUGUACGCUUAACGUACAGGCUGCCGGGAAUACUGCAGAGCUAGGGAGUGGGAGAGGUAGACGGUACUCGGUAGGAAGGGGUAAAAUCCUUUGAUCUAUUGAUGACCACCUGUGGCGAAGGCGGUCUACCAGAACACGUCCGACGGUGAGGGAUGAAAGCUGGGGGAGCAAACCGGAUUAGAUACCCGGGUAGUCCCAGCUGUAAACUAUGCAAACUCAGUGAUGCAUUGGCUUGUGGCCAAUGCAGUGCUGUAGGGAAGCCGUUAAGUUUGCCGCCUGGGAAGUACGUACGCAGGUAUGAAACUUAAAGGAAUUGGCGGGGGAGCAC